rnacentral:rRNA from 1 species
UCGUCACACUAUCAUUAACUGAAUCCAUAGGUUAAUGAGGCGAACCGGGGGAACUGAAACAUCUAAGUACCCCGAGGAAAAGAAAUCAACCGAGAUUCCCCCAGUAGCGGCGAGCGAACGGGGAGGAGCCCAGAGCCUGAAUCAGCAUGUGUGUUAGUGGAAGCGUCUGGAAAGGCGCGCGAUACAGGGUGACAGCCCCGUACACAAAAGCGCAUGUGCUGUGAGCUCGAUGAGUAGGGCGGGACACGUGGUAUCCUGUCUGAAUAUGGGGGGACCAUCCUCCAAGGCUAAAUACUCCUGACUGACCGAUAGUGAACCAGUACCGUGAGGGAAAGGCGAAAAGAACCCCGGCGAGGGGAGUGAAAAAGAACCUGAAACCGUGUACGUACAAGCAGUGGGAGCCCCACCACUAAGCCAGUGGUGAACUCCACAUACGCAUCCUUUGCUGAGGAUACGGUUAACGGAGCGAAAGCGACGUUCAACCUCAAAAGAAGCAGAGGGGGCUUAGUGGUGGGGUGACUGCGUACCUUUUGUAUAAUGGGUCAGCGACUUAUAUUCUGUAGCAAGGUUAACCGAAUAGGGGAGCCGGAGGGAAACCGAGUCUUAAUUGGGCGUUAAGUUGCAGGGUAUAGACCCGAAACCCGGUGAUCUAGCCAUGGGCAGGUUGAAGGUUGGGUAACACUAACUGGAGGACCGAACCGACUAAUGUUGAAAAAUUAGCGGAUGACCUGUGGCUGGGGGUGAAAGGCCAAUCAAACCGGGAGAUAGCUGGUUCUCCCCGAAAGCUAUUUAGGUAGCGCCUCGUGAAUUCAUCUCCGGGGGUAGAGCACUGUUUCGGCUAGGGGGCCAUCCCGGCUUACCAACCCGAUGCAAACUGCGAAUACCGGAGAAUGUUAUCACGGGAGACACACGGCGGGUGCUAACGUCCGUCGUGAAGAGGGAAACAACCCAGACCGCCAGCUAAGGUCCCAAAGUCAUGGUUAAGUGGGAAACGAUGUGGGAAGGCCCAGACAGCCAGGAUGUUGGCUUAGAAGCAGCCAUCAUUUAAAGAAAGCGUAAUAGCUCACUGGUCGAGUCGGCCUGCGCGGAAGAUGUAACGGGGCUAAACCAUGCACCGAAGCUGCGGCAGCGACGCUUAUGCGUUGUUGGGUAGGGGAGCGUUCUGUAAGCCUGUGAAGGUGGCCUGUGAGGGUUGCUGGAGGUAUCAGAAGUGCGAAUGCUGACAUAAGUAACGAUAAAGCGGGUGAAAAGCCCGCUCGCCGGAAGACCAAGGGUUCCUGUCCAACGUUAAUCGGGGCAGGGUGAGUCGACCCCUAAGGCGAGGCCGAAAGGCGUAGUCGAUGGGAAACGGGUUAAUAUUCCCGUACUUGGUGUUACUGCGAAGGGGGGACGGAGAAGGCUAUGUUGGCCGGGCGACGGUUGUCCCGGUUUAAGCGUGUAGGUGUGUGUUCCAGGUAAAUCCGGUUCACUUUAACACUGAGGCGUGACGACGAGGCACUACGGUGCUGAAGCAACAAAUGCCCUGCUUCCAGGAAAAGCCUCUAAGCAUCAGGUAACAUCAAAUCGUACCCCAAACCGACACAGGUGGUCAGGUAGAGAAUACCAAGGCGCUUGAGAGAACUCGGGUGAAGGAACUAGGCAAAAUGGUGCCGUAACUUCGGGAGAAGGCACGCUGACACGUAGGUGAAGUGAUUUACUCAUGGAGCUGAAGUCAGUCGAAGAUACCAGCUGGCUGCAACUGUUUAUUAAAAACACAGCACUGUGCAAACACGAAAGUGGACGUAUACGGUGUGACGCCUGCCCGGUGCCGGAAGGUUAAUUGAUGGGGUCAGCGCAAGCGAAGCUCCUGAUCGAAGCCCCGGUAAACGGCGGCCGUAACUAUAACGGUCCUAAGGUAGCGAAAUUCCUUGUCGGGUAAGUUCCGACCUGCACGAAUGGCGUAAUGAUGGCCAGGCUGUCUCCACCCGAGACUCAGUGAAAUUGAACUCGCUGUGAAGAUGCAGUGUACCCGCGGCAAGACGGAAAGACCCCGUGAACCUUUACUAUAGCUUGACACUGAACAUUGAGCCUUGAUGUGUAG